AGAGUUUGAUCCUGGCUCAGGAUAAACGCUGGCGGCGUGCCUAACACAUGCAAGUCGAACGCGCUUUCGGGCGACCGGGAGCGAGUGGCGGACGGGUGAGUAACACAUGGGUGACCUACCUCUGGGUGAGGAAUACCGGCGAGAAAUCGCCGACAAUACCGCAUAGGCUCUCCUUUGUAAGAGAGGGAGAGCAAAGGUCU
rnacentral:rRNA from 1 species